CAGUCGCCGCGGGAAUACGAAGGGGGCUAGCGUUGCUCGGAAUGACUGGGCGUAAAGGGCGCGUAGGCGGAUGACACAGUCAGAUGUGAAAUUCCCGGGCUUAACCUGGGGGCUGCAUUUGAUACGUGUUGUCUAGAGUGAGGAAGAGGGUUGUGGAAUUCCCAGUGUAGAGGUGAAAUUCGUAGAUAUUGGGAAGAGCACCGGUGGCGAAGGCGGCAACCUGGUCCUUUACUGACGCUGAGGCGCGAAAGCGUGGGGAGCAAACAGGAUUAGAGACCCCCGUAGUCCCUGUCUCUUAUAC
rnacentral:rRNA from 1 species